UCGGGUGUGGUGCAUGGUGCACAACGGCUGCCAGUGAUGAAGGAAGGCUUGUAUCAGAGUUCACGCUGGAGACCGGGGUUCGAAUCCUCGCAUCCGAA